rnacentral:rRNA from 1 species
UAUGGCGACCGGCGCACGGGUGAGUAACACGUAUCCAACCUGCCGAUGACUCGGGGAUAGCCUUUCGAAAGAAAGAUUAAUACCCGAUGGCAUAGUUCUUCCGCAUGGUAGAACUAUUAAAGAAUUUCGGUCAUCGAUGGGUAUGCGUUCCAUUAGGUUGUUGGCGGGGUAACGGCCCACCAAGCCUUCGAUGGAUAGGGGUUCUGAGAGGAAGGUCCCCCACAUUGGAACUGAGACACGGUCCAA